GACGAACGCUGGCGGCGUGCUUAACACAUGCAAGUCGAACGGAAAGGCCCUGCUUUUGUGGGGUGCUCGAGUGGCGAACGGGUGAGUAACACGUGAGUAACCUGCCCUUGACUUUGGGAUAACUUCAGGAAACUGGGGCUAAUACCGGAUAGGAGCUCCUGCUGCAUGGUGGGGGUUGGAAAGUUUCGGCGGCUGGGGAUGGACUCGCGGCUUAUCAGCUUGUUGGUGGGGUAGUGGCUUACCAAGGCUUUGACGGGUAGCCGGCCUGAGAGGGUGACCGGCCACAUUGGGACUGAGAUACGGCCCAGACUCCUACGGGAGGCAGCAGUGGGGAAUAUUGCACAAUGGGCGGAAGCCUGAUGCAGCAACGCCGCGUGCGGGAUGACGGCCUUCGGGUUGUAAACCGCUUUCGCCUGUGACGAAGCGUGAGUGACGGUAAUGGGUAAAGAAGCACCGGCUAACUACGUGCCAGCAGCCGCGGUGAUACGUAGGGUGCGAGCGUUGUCCGGAUUUAUUGGGCGUAAAGGGCUCGUAGGUGGUUGAUCGCGUCGGAAGUGUAAUCUUGGGGCUUAACCCUGAGCGUGCUUUCGAUACGGGUUGACUUGAGGAAGGUAGGGGAGAAUGGAAUUCCUGGUGGAGCGGUGGAAUGCGCAGAUAUCAGGAGGAACACCAGUGGCGAAGGCGGUUCUCUGGGCCUUUCCUGACGCUGAGGAGCGAAAGCGUGGGGAGCGAACAGGCUUAGAUACCCUGGUAGUCCACGCUGUAAACGGU
rnacentral:rRNA from 1 species